rnacentral:rRNA from 1 species
AGUGAACGCUGGCGGUAGGCCUAACACAUGCAAGUCGAACGGCAGCACAGAGGAGCUUGCUCCUUGGGUGGCGAGUGGCGGACGGGUGAGGAAUACAUCGGAAUCUACUCUGUCGUGAGGGAUAACGUAGGGAAACUUACGCUAAUACCGCAUACGACCUACGGGCGAAAGCAGGGGACCUUCGGGCCUUGCGCGAUUGAAUGAGCCGAUGUCGGAUUAGCUAGUUGGCGGGGUAAAGGCCCACCAAGGCGACGAUCCGUAGCUGGUCUGAGAGGAUGAUCAGCCACACUGGAACUGAGACACGGUCCAGACUCCUACGGGAGGCAGCAGUGGGGAAUAUUGGACAAUGGGCGCAAGCCUGAUCCAGCCAUACCGCGUGGGUGAAGAAGGCCUUCGGGUUGUAAAGCCCUUUUGUUGGGAAAGAAAUCCAGCUGGCUAAUACCCGGUUGGGAUGACGGUACCCAAAGAAUAAGCACCGGCUAACUUCGUGCCAGCAGCCGCGGUAA